GGGGACUUGGAUAACUUUUCUGUCUUAUAAGAGGAUUGUAAAAUGAACCAAUCAGCACUCUGUAGCUAGCAAGGGGAUUGUAAAAUGCACCAAUCAGUGCUCUGUAAAAACACACCAGUCAGUGCUCUGUAGCUAGCAAGAGGAUUGUAAAAUGCACCAAUCAGCACUCUGUAAAAUGCACCAAUCAGUGCUCUGUAAAACACACCAAUCAGGAGGGUCCUAAAAGUAGCCAAUCACAGGGAGGAUUGAAAAAAGGGCACUCUGAUAGGCCAGACAGAAAUGCUGAACAUGGGAGGGGACAAAUAAGGGAAUAAAAGCUGGCCACCCCAGCCAGCAGCGCCAACCCGCUUUUGUCCCCUUCCAGGCUGUGGAAGCUUUGUUCUUUUGCUCUUCACAAUAAACCUUGCUACCACUCACACUUUGGGUCCAUGACAUCUUUAAGAGCUGUAACACUGCAAAGGUCUGCGCCUUCAUUCUUGAAGUCAGCGAGACCAAGCACCCCCACCAGGAACCGACUCUGGACAUAUCUUGGGGGCUCGUCCAGGAUAGCACCAUGUGGUCUCCUCCAAGAUAUUCUUAUGUAACUACUCUACUUGUCACCUGGACAUCAGGACUUUGGAAAACUUCCCAAGUGUUUCCAUUGUGCAGGCUGUCAUGAGAAUAUCCUCUCUCGGGAAGACUUACUAGAGAAAGAAGUAGCCAUCACCAAUCUUUCAAGCCUUUUGCACUCUUACCUAUUGGAUUUGAACAACUUAUGUAAGGUCAUCUUGGGUUAUGAUUGUCCCUCUCAGGUAAGAUGUUAGCAUUUUUGUCAGGACUAGUUUGCUUCCAAACCCAAGAGGCUCCAAUCAAAAUACCAAUGACUUCUCCCUGGAUUAUCUGUGAUCCUCUAACUCAUAAGGAAUAUCCCACAAAAAGCUUCACAGCCCAUCAAAAAAAAAAAAAAAAAAAAACAACUAACUCUAAGGUUUUCUCAGUCCAAAUUAUAUACCCUUUACUAUUUCCCAGCUAAAAUUAUGUCAACCUGUAUUUCAUUAUAUCUCAUCAAGUUUUCUGCAAUAAGAUUAAAUAACUUUAUGAUAUACCAAUGAUAAAAUAACAGCAAAAAUAUACUCCAUAUUUGAUAUUAAUCCCCUUCCAUUAUGAAUUUCAUGGAAAGAUUUAAAAAUGUUCAAAGAAAUUUUACAUUUAAGAUAUAAAUAUUUUAUUUAAGUAAAAUAAUUUGAAGCCUAAAGAAUUUAAAGUUCUUCUCAAUUUCUUAUUCCAUUUCAUCUCUGCAAGAAGUCUUGAUACUUGAAGCUAUAGUAUGUUUCACCUGUUAUAAAAGCUAUGAAUGCCAUAGCACUAAUAAAGUUGAAUUUAGCCACAGUCUCUCAUGUAUCUCAUUAAAAAAAGAAAUCAAAGAUUUCUGGCGGGGUACAGAGGCUCAUGCCUGUAAUCCCAGCGCUUUGGGAGGCUGAGGCAGAUGGAUCACCUGAGAUUAGGAGUUCAAGACUAGCCUGGCCAACAUGGGGAAAUCUUGUCUCUACUAAAAAUUAGAAAAUUAGCUGCGCAUGGGGGCGUGCGCCUGUAAUCCCAGCUAGUCAGAAGACUGAGGCAAGAAAAUCAUUUGAACCUGGGAGGCAGAGGUUGCAGUGAGCUGAGAUUAUGCCACUGCACUCCAGCCUGGGUGACAGAGUGAGACUCCAUCUCAUAAAAAAAAAAAAAAAUUCAUGCCAUAAAAAAUCAAAUAAUUAAUAAAAUAUAUCAUAGUUUCAUAGCCCUGGACCAUUUCUGACUAAUUCAGAUAACCAGCCAAACCCCAAUACCUAGACAUUUCUUCAUAAAAUUUUGUUACAAUAACAUACUUAGUAUUGUCAUUAACCAGUAGUUCUCAUUCCUAAAUGUGUACUAUAAUUGUCUUAUAUACUCUUAAAAAAUACUAGUAUCUUACCCAAUAACAGUUAAAUCAGCAUCUUUGAAUGAGGAAUUUGUAAAGAUGUAAUUUUUAAAUCUCUCAAGGUUUUUUUAAUUAUUUUUUAGUAGCCUUAAAAAAGGCAGUUCUAAGUUUACAGGCAGUUGAGUGGAAAGUACAGGGAGUUCCCAUAUUGCACCAGUGUGGUAACUUUGCUACAUUGAUGACACAAUUUUGAUGAAUAAUUAUUAACUAAAGUCUAUAGGUGACACAUUCACUCUGUGUUGUACAUUCCAUGGGGCUUAACAAAUAUAUGACAUAUAUCCACCAUUACUUACGAUACAAAAUAGUUUCACUGGCCUUAAAUUCCCCUAUGCUCCAACAAUUCAUUCUUUUUUCCCUCCACUGGAACCCCUGGCUGGCAACUACUGACGUUUUCUUUUGUUCUGUCUUCACAGUUUUGCCUUUUCCAGAUGAAUUACCUAGUUGAAAUCAUUCUGUAUGUAGCCUUUUCAGGUUGGCUUCUUUCACUUAGCAGUAUGUAUCUCAGGUGUCUUCAUGUCUUUUCAUGGCUUGAAAGCUCAUUUCUUCUUUUUUUUUUUUUUUUUGAGACGGAGUCUCGCUCUGUUGCCCAGGCUGGAGUGCAAUGGCGCGAUCUCGGCUCACUGCAAGCUCCGCCUCCCGGGUUCACGCCAUUCUCCUGCCUCAGCCUCCCGAGUAGCUGGGACUACAGGUGCCCGCCACCAUGCCCGGCUAAUUUUUUGUAUUUUUAGUAGAGAUGGGGUUUCACAAUGUUAGCCAGGAUGGUCUCGAUCUCCUGACCUUGUGAUCCGCCCACCUCGGCCUCCCAAAGUGCUGGGAUUACAGGCGUGAGCCAUCGUGCCCGGCCCAUUUCUUCUUAUUACUGAAUAAUAUUCCAGUGUCUGGAUGAACCACAGUUUAUUUAUCCAUUCACCUAUUUAGGGACAUCUUGGCCCAGGGUAUUUUAAUGUCCAGCCAGAGUUAACCUCUGCCAUAGACCAUAGCAGAAACUCAAUAGCAUCUGAAGGAAGAGGAAAUGGGGAAAAUCUUUAUUUUAGUCAUAGUGAGCUGUCAGGCAGUCAGUUGCAGUGCACAGUUAAACACUUGUGUGAAACACAAUUGAGUGAAAGUUCUCAUUAAGGGGUUAAUAUUUUUCCAUAAGCACCUAUCAUUUUAGGGGGAAGCCACCUACUCAAACUGUCUUUUCAUGCUGCCAUUUGAGCUACUGCUGCCUUCUUGCAAAGUCUAGAAAUUUACACUGGUAGCAGCUCCAGUCACCAUAUGCUGUUUUACUCCCUCCCUAUCUCACCUCUAAAUUUAAUUUAAUCCCUCUUAAUUCCAUUUAUUUUUUGAGCUCUGUGCUUUCACACUUCCUUGUGAGCAAGCAUUUUAGUCCUAUGCUUUAAUUCAGUCAUUUAAUAAGGGUAAGCUUAGAAAUUUUUGAAAUCUGUGGCACAGGAAAGAAUUCCCCUAGUCCUCUCAUUUAUUUGAACUGGAGAAUCACCUUCAGCAUAUUUCUAAGGUAAACUUGUUCUGUUUUUUUUUUUUUUCUUUUUCUGUAACUUGUGACCCCAGAAGCCUAAUUUGUACCAGCUUUUGCCAUAUGCUCCUCAGCUUUUGAAAGUCCCAGAUAUUGUGAAUCAUUUGUUUUUGUUGUUUUUGUUUUCAAACAGCUUUACUGAAAAUAAUUCACGUGCCAUACAACUUAUUCAUUUAGAGUAUACCAUCUAAUAUUUUUCAGUCUACUCACUGCUGUGCGGCCAUCAGCACAAUUAAAUUUUAGAACAUUUCAACCUCCUAAAAAAAAAAAAACCUUGUUCCCAUUAGCAGUCAAUCCCUAUUCUAUACCAACCCUAAGCAACUUACUAAUAUAUUUCAUUAUUCUGGCCAUUUAAUACAAAUAUGUUCUUUUGUGAUUAGAUUCUUUAACUUAGCAUAAUGUUUUUAAGAGCAAUUGUGCCAUAGCAUGAAUUAAUACUUCAUUUCUUUUUAUUGCCAAAUAAUAUUCCCUUGUAUGGAUAUGCCAGAUUGUAUUGACACACAUUCAUCAGUUGAUAGACAUUUGGGUUAUUUCCACUCUUGGGCCACUAUGAAUAGUAUUGUUAUGAAUAAUCAUAAACAAGGUUUUGUAUGGAUAUAUAUUUUCAUUUCAUUUGCAUAUAUACAUUGGAAUGGAAUUGUGGGUCAUAUGAUAACACUAUGUUUAACUUUUGAGAAACUGCCAGACUGUUUUUCAUAGUGAUUGCACCAUCUUACAUUCCCACCAGCAGCAUGUAAGUGUUCCAAUUUCUCCAUAUCUUUGCUAAAGUUGCUGUUGUCAUCUUUUUUAUUAUAGCCAUCCAGUAAGGGUUAAUAGCAUCUUAUUGUGGUUUUGAUUUGAUUUUCACUAAUGAUGUAGAACAACUUUUCAUAUGCUUAUUGGUCACAUGUAUAUCUUCUCAGAGAAAAUACCUAUUCAAAUCCUAUGACCAUUUUAACAUUGAGUUACUGUCUUCUUUAUUGAAUGGUAAAAUUCAUUUAAAUAUCUGGAUACAAGUUAUUUAUCAGACAUAUGUUCUCUCAUUCUGUGGUUUUUUUUCCCUUGAGGAUAUAAUUUGAAGCACAAAAGUUUUAAAAUAAUAUGGUUUAUUUUGUUUUUUUUCCUGCUUAUGUUUUCAGUGUAGUAUCUAAGAAAGUUUCCUAACCAAUGAUCAUUAGGAUUUACUCCUAAAUUUUUUCCCAGGAAUUUAUAGCUUAAUCCCUUAUAUUUAAGUCUAUGAUCCAUUCUGAGUUUUUAUGUUUUUGUUUGUUUGUUUCUUUGUGUUUAUUUGUUUUUUGUUUUGCAUAUGAUUUGAGGUAAGGUUCCAACUUUAUUCCUUUGAAUGUGGUCAUUCAGUUUCCCCAGCAGUGUUUGUUGAAAUGACUAUUUUUUCACUAUUUAAUUUUCUUGGUACAUUUGUCAAAAAUAAAUUGACCAUAUGUUUGUAAUUAUGCCAGUACCACACUGUCUUGAUUACUGUAGCUUUGCAGUAAGGGUUGAAAUCAGGAAGUAUGAGCCAAGAUCGUUUGACUAUUCUGGGUCUCUUGCAUUUCCUCAUGAAUUUUAACUUCAAUUUGUCAAUUUCUUCUAAAAAGCCAGCAAGAAUUUUGACAGGGAUUACAUUGAAUAUUUCCACCAAUUUAGGAAGUAUUGGCCAUCUUAACAUUAUUAAUCUUUCAAUCCAUAAACAUGAGACGUCUUUCCAUUUAUUUAAGGUUUUUUUUAAUAUCUUUAAGCAAUGUUCUGUAUUUUCUAGGGCACAAAUCUUAUACACCCUUUUGUUAUACUUAAAUAUUUUGUUCUUUUUUUAUGUCAUUAUGGUUGGAAAUGUUUUCUUAGUUUCAAAUGCAUAAUUUUCAUUGUUAACCUAUAGAAAUAAUUGAUUUUUAGAAAUUGAUCUUUUAUUUUUCAGCCUUCACAGGUUUUUAGUGUAAUCCUUACAAUUUUCUGUAUAUAAAAUAACAUGAUCUGCAAAUAGAGAUAGUUUUACCUCCUUCUUUCCAAUUUAGAUGCCUUUUAUUCCCUCUUCUUGCCUAGAUGCCUGGGCUGGAAACUCCAAUACAAUGUUAAAUCAAGGUGAUGAGGUUGAACAUCUGUGUCUGGUUCUUGAUCUUAGGGUGAAAAUAUUCAUUCUUUCGCUAUUAAGUAUGAGGUUAACUGUGGAUUUUUUGUAGAUGGUCUUUACUAGGUAAAAAUGAGUGUUUUAUCAUGAAAUGUAGUUGUAGUACAUCAAAUGUUUUCGAAAUAACUGUAUAAUAUUUUGUCUUUUAUUCUGUCAAAAUGGCUUAUUACAUUAAUUAAUUUUGGAUGUUAAAUCAACCUGUGUUCCUAGGAUAAAUCCUACUUGUUCAUGUUGUAUAAUCCUUUUAAUAUGUUAUUGGAUUUGGUUUGUUAGUAUUUUGAUGAGUAUUUUUGCAAAUAUAUUCAUCAGCGAUACUAGGCUGUAGUUUUUUUCUUCUAGUUUUAGUAUCAGAGUAAUAUUGCCCUCAUAGGAUGAGUUGGAAACUGUUUCCAGCUCUUCUAUUUGUUAAAAGAAUUUGUGAAGUAUUUAUAGUAGUUUUUCUUUGAAUGUUUGAUAGAUUUCACCAGGGAAAACAUAUGGUACUUGGCUUUUCUUUCAGGAAGUUUUAAAAUGAUCAAUUCAAUUUUUUGCUUAUUAUAGACCUAUCUGGAAUUUCUAUUUAUUCUAGAGUAAGAGUCAGUACUUUGUGUCUUCCAAGAAAUUAAUUCGUUUCAUGCAACUCAUCUUGUUGGUUUAUAGUUGUUUGUAAUAGCAUUCCCUUAUAAUCUUUUUAUUUCAAUACAACAAUAGUAACAUUCCUUUUUCAUUCUUGAUUUUAGUAAUUUCAGACUUCUCUUUGUUUUUUAUUCUUGGUUAGUUCAGCUAAAAUUUUGUCAUUUUUUUUUUUAUAUUUUUAAAAGCAUCAAAUAGCUACUCCUGCUUUCCUUUCAUUUAUAGUUGUGUGAUAUAUCUUCUUCCAUCCUAUUACUUUCAAACUAUGUCUCUUCCAGACAAAGCAUUAUUGGAUCACAGUCUUUAAAAUCCAAUUUAAAAGUUCUUGGGUUUUGGUGAGAUUGUAUAACCCACAUGCAUUUAAUAUUAUUGAUAUGUUUAGAAUUAUAUCUGCCAUUUUGCCUUUUGUUUUCUAUGUGUCACAUGUCUUUUUUCUUUUUCUACUUUUUUUUAUACUAAGCAGCUUAUGUUUAAUGUAGC
rnacentral:lncRNA from 10 species